rnacentral:rRNA from 1 species
UUACGCUGUUAUCCCUAAGGUAAUUUAUUUUUUUAAUUUAAAUUUUAAGAUUAAAAAUUCAUUAAUUUAUGUUUUUAUUAUAAAAAUUAAUUAAAUUUUACAAUUACCCCAAUUAAAUUUUUAAUUAAAUAUAUUAAUUUAUUAAUAAAUUUUAAAAUAACUAAAAAUAAAAUUCUAUAGGGUCUUCUCGUCUUUUAAUAAAAUUUAAGAAUUUUUACUUAAAUUUUAAAUUUAAUUAUUAAUUUUAUUUAUAUAGUAUAUAUUUCAUUUAAUCUUUCAUUCUAGUUUUUUAAUUAAAAACUAUUUAUUAUGCUACCUUUGUACAGUUAUAAAUACUGCAGCCAUUUAAUUUAAUCAUUGGGCAGAUUAGACUAAAAAUUAUAAUCAAUAAGACAUGUUUUUGUUAAACAGGCG